rnacentral:rRNA from 1 species
UCAAACACUGGUUCUGGUACGAUCACCGAAGUUAAGCAACGUCGAGACUGGUCGGUACCUAGAUGGGUGACCGCUUCGGAAUACCAGUUGCUGUAAG